GAGCCCAGGUAAACUACAACUCCCAGUAACGCCACAGUGAUGGGAGUUGCCCGGGAGGUGAUGGACAGCGCGCCGCCUUACGACCAGCGGCGGGCCUGUGGUCGCUGUAGGCGGGCGGCGCGGCGGGACGGGAAAGCGUUUCCGGGAGAGACCUUCCGUGGAGGACGUCGCCACAGGCUCAGGCACUUAGAAAAUUAAGGGGAGCACCUAAGAGAGCGAUAGAUCUCCGUGUUUCCAGCAAAGCAGGGAGCACAGAGACUCAAAGCUAACCUAGAGCCCGCCGGAUGCUGUAGGAGGUGAGGAAGCUAAAGCCCGAGACUUCCAAGAUCACACAACCACUUAAUAUGCCAGACAAGGACCCAACCUUCUUUUUCAUUUAUGACAGCCCUUUGGCUUGAAGCAUGCCGGAAGGUCUCAUCGUUCUUCCUAAAAUAUGUGUCAUUGAGGAUAGUCACAAUAUUUCCUAUAUUUUUAUUCUAAUAUAGUAUGUAGUACCACAUUGUUGAUUGAAUAAAUAAAUGAAUCUUUUACCACA